rnacentral:rRNA from 1 species
UCGAGCGGCAGCGCGGGGCAACCUGGCGGCGAGCGGCGAACGGGUGAGUAAUGCAUCGGAACAUGUCCAUGUCGUGGGGGAUAGCCCGGCGAAAGCCGGAUUAAUACCGCAUACGCCCGAGAGGGGAAAGUGGGGGACCGCAAGGCCUCACGCGAUUGGGUUGGCCGAUGUCCGAUUAGCUAGUUGGCGGGGUAAGAGCCCACCAAGGCGAUGAUCGGUAGCUGGUCUGAGAGGAUGAUCAGCCACACUGGGACUGAGACACGGCCCAGACUCCUACGGGAGGCAGCAGUGGGGAAUUUUGGACAAUGGGGGAAACCCUGAUCCAGCCAUUCCGCGUGAGUGAAGAAGGCCUUCGGGUUGUAAAGCUCUUUUGUCCGGAACGAAACGGUUGGCGUGAAUAUCGCCGACUACUGACGGUACCGGAAGAAUAAGCACCGGCUAACUACGUGCCAGCAGCCGCGGUAAUACGUAGGGUGCGAGCGUUA